AUUAGAGUUUGAUCCUGGCUCAGAUUGAACGCUGGCGGCAGGCCUAACACAUGCAAGUCGAGCGGUAGAGAGAAGCUUGCUUCUCUUGAGAGCGGCGGACGGGUGAGUAAUGCCUAGGAAUCUGCCUGGUAGUGGGGGAUAACGUUCGGAAACGGACGCUAAUACCGCAUACGUCCUACGGGAGAAAGCAGGGGACCUUCGGGCCUUGCGCUAUCAGAUGAGCCUAGGUCGGAUUAGCUAGUUGGUGGGGUAAUGGCUCACCAAGGCGACGAUCCGUAACUGGUCUGAGAGGAUGAUCAGUCACACUGGAACUGAGACACGGUCCAGACUCCUACGGGAGGCAGCAGUGGGGAAUAUUGGACAAUGGGCGAAAGCCUGAUCCAGCCAUGCCGCGUGUGUGAAGAAGGUCUUCGGAUUGUAAAGCACUUUAAGUUGGGAGGAAGGGUUGUAGAUUAAUACUCUGCAAUUUUGACGUUACCGACAGAAUAAGCACCGGCUAACUCUGUGCCAGCAGCCGCGGUAAUAAU
rnacentral:rRNA from 1 species